rnacentral:misc_RNA from 1 species
AAGUCGUAACAAGGUAUCCGUAGGUGAACCUGCGGAUGGAUCAUUAACGAUACGUGUUGUUCUUCACGGAACACACGUUCCUUACCAACCAAACCUGUGCGAGGAGUUGUCGGGUUGAAAGCCGAAGACUCCGUUUCUUUCUACUUUUUCUUAUACAAACCUUAAAACCCGAUUUCUUCGUUUUCGAAGGACUGAAACCACACUGUUUCAAAUCGAAAGUAAGCGUCGGUUACAAUCGCUUGUUUCUAUUAGACUGUUUUUUUAAACAGUUGAACGGACCGGUUGUUACAUUUGACGCUUCCGAUUAGAUAUGAAAUCCUGUACAACUCUUAGCAACGGAUAUCUUGGUUCUC